AUUGAACGCUGGCGGCAUGCCUUACACAUGCAAGUCGAACGGCAGCGGACCUUCGGGUGCCGGCGAGUGGCGAACGGGUGAGUAAUGCAUCGGAACGUGCCAUUGAGUGGGGGGAUAACGUAGCGAAAGUCGCGCUAAUACCGCAUAUUCUGUGAGCAGGAAAGCAGGGGACCGCAAGGCCUUGCGCUCUUUGAGCGGCCGAUGUCAGAUUAGCUAGUUGGUGAGGUAACGGCUUACCAAGGCGACGAUCUGUAGCGGGUCUGAGAGGAUGAUCCGCCACACUGGAACUGAGACACGGUCCAGACUCCUACGGGAGGCAGCAGUGGGGAAUUUUGGACAAUGGGGGCAACCCUGAUCCAGCCAUGCCGCGUGAGUGAAGAA
rnacentral:rRNA from 1 species